UGUCUUGGAAGAAGGACGGAAUGAAAUUCCCUCUCUGACGUCGAUGACUUGAAUUAUGACUGGAGUUGACUGCACUUGGUACUGAGAGAUCACUGACUGGUGGAACUCAGCUUUGUUUCUGACGGCAAUACUAAAUUGCAUACUUUGCACCUGUUCAUAAUCCAGAGCCUGGGGUAAAGCCAAGUUAGACAGAAGAAAGUGUCACAAAAGACAAAACAAACACAGUCCGGGAGACCGAGAGAUGGACACAACCAUGCAGACAUUCUAACUUCACAAAGCACAGGAAGAAGGAUUAACUUGAUUGAGAACUUACCAGGAAGCUUGGGGUUUCCUCACGAUCAACUAUGGCUGUUAUGUUAAUAUCACCAUUGUUUGGGUCAACAACAAAGAUCCCGAAAGGGGGCUGAUCAAUUCCCACUCCAGAAAUGCGAGAAGAAGAAAAGAGCCAGAUAUAGUAGUGCAUGUCUGCAAUCAAGAACUGGUGAAGCUGAGGCAGGAGGAUUGCCAAGAGUUCAAAGUUAGCCUGGUCUACAUAUGAGUACCAGGCUAGGUGGGACUACAGAGAAGACUUGUUCUCAAAGACCAUGAACCAACCAACCAACCAACCAAACAAACAACCAACCAACCAACCAACCAACCAAACAAACA